rnacentral:rRNA from 1 species
GACGAACGCUGGCGGCGUGCCUAAUACAUGCAAGUCGAGCGGACCCUUCGGGGUUAGCGGCGGACGGGUGAGUAACACGUGGGUAAUCUGCCCAACUGACUGGAAUAACGACCUGAAACGGGUGCUAAUNCCGGAUAGGCAACUGGUAGGCAUCUACCGGUUGGGAAAGGUGCAACUGCACCGCCAGAUGGAGGAGCCCGCGGCGCAUUAGCUAGUUGGUGGGGUAACGGCCUACCAAGGCGACGAUGCGUAGCCGACCUGAGAGGGUGGACGGCCACACUGGGACUGAGACACGGCCCAGACUCCUAUGGGAGGCAGCAGUAGGGAAUCUUCCGCAAUGGGCGCAAGCCUGACGGAGCAACGCCGCGUGAGCGAAGAAGGCCUUCGGGUUGUAAAGCUCAGUCACUCGGGAAGAGCGGACGGGGGAGUGGAAAGCCCUCGUCGAGACGGUACCGAGAGAGGAAGCCCCGGCUAACUACGUG